rnacentral:rRNA from 1 species
UACGUAGGGGGCAAGCGUUGUCCGGAAUCAUUGGGCGUAAAGCGCGCGUAGGCGGCCCGGCAAGUCCGCUCUGAAAGUCCAGGGCUUAACCCUGGAAAGCGGGUGGAUACUGCCGGGCUAGAAUCCGGAAGAGGCGAGUGGAAUUCCUGGUGUAGCGGUGAAAUGCGUAGAUAUCAGGAAGAACAUCGGUGGCGAAGGCGCUCUGCUGGACCAUAACUGACACUCAGGGACGAAAGCUAGGGGAGCGAAUGGG